rnacentral:rRNA from 1 species
GCACAAUGGGCGCAAGCCUGAUGCAGCCAUGCCGCGUGUGUGAAGAAGGCCUUCGGGUUGUAAAGCACUUUCAGUAAGGAGGAAAGGUUAAGUGUUAAUAGCGCUUAGCUGUGACGUUACUUACAGAAGAAGCACCGGCUAACUCCGUGCCAGCAGCCGCGGUAAUACGGAGGGUGCGAGCGUUAAUCGGAAUUACUGGGCGUAAAGCGUACGCAGGCGGUUUGUUAAGCGAGAUGUGAAAGCCCCGGGCUCAACCUGGGAACUGCAUUUCGAACUGGCAAACUAGAGUGUGAUAGAGGGUGGUAGAAUUUCAGGUGUAGCGGUGAAAUGCGUAGAGAUCUGAAGGAAUACCGAUGGCGAAGGCAGCCACCUGGGUCAACACUGACGCUCAUGUACGAAAGCGUGGGGAGCAAACAGGAUUAGAUACCCUGGUAG